rnacentral:rRNA from 1 species
UCCGAUGUCUAUUUCUAGAGAUAGAAGUUACUUCGGUACAUCGGUGACAGGUGGUGCAUGGUUGUCGUCAGCUCGUGUCGUGAGAUGUUGGGUUAAGUCCCGCAACGAGCGCAACCCCUAUUGUUAGUUGCCAUCAUUCAGUUGGGCACUCUAGCGAGACUGCCGGUAAUAAACCGGAGGAAGGUGGGGAUGACGUCAAAUCAUCAUGCCCCUUAUGACCUGGGCUACACACGUGCUACAAUGGUUGGUACAACGAGUUGCGAGUCGGUGACGGCGAGCUAAUCUCUUAAAGCCAAUCUCAGUUCGGAUUGUAGGCUGCAACUCGCCUACAUGAAGUCGGAAUCGCUAGUAAUCGCGGAUCAGCACGCCGCGGUGAAUACGUUCCCGGGCCUU